UCCGUUAUGGUGUAGUGGCUAACAUUAUCGCCUCUCAUAACACUUGUAAUGUCGCGAGCGCGAUAGCCCAGGGUUCGAUUCCCUGUAACGGAA